rnacentral:rRNA from 1 species
CCAACAGGGAUUGCCCUAGUAACGGCGAGUGAAGCGGCAACAGCUCAAAUUUGAAAUCUGGCGUCUUCGGCGUCCGAGUUGUAAUUUGCAGAGGGCGCUUUGGCAUUGGCAGCGGUCCAAGUUCCUUGGAACAGGACGUCACAGAGGGUGAGAAUCCCGUACGUGGUCGCUAGCCUCUACCGUGUAAAGCCCCUUCGACGAGUCGAGUUGUUUGGGAAUGCAGCUCUAAAUGGGAGGUAAAUUUCUUCUAAAGCUAAAUACUGGCCAGAGACCGAUAGCGCACAAGUAGAGUGAUCGAAAGAUGAAAAGCACUUUGGAAAGAGAGUUAAAAAGCACGUGAAAUUGUUGAAAGGGAAGCGCUUGCAGCCAGACUUGCCUGUAGUUGCUCAUCCGGGUUUCUACCCGGUGCACUCUUCUAUAGGCAGGCCAGCAUCAGUUUGGGCGGUUGGAUAAAGGUCUCUGUCAUGUACCUCCUCUCGGGGAGAACUUAUAGGGGAGACGACAUGCAACCAGCCCGGACUGAGGUCCGCGCAUCUGCUAGGAUGCUGGCGUAAUGGCUGUAAGCGGCCCGUCUUGAAACACGGACCAAGGAGUCUAACAUCUAUGCGAGUGUUUGGGUGUCAAGCCCGAACGCGUAAUGAAAGUGAACGGAGGUGGGAACCUUUCGGGGUGCACCAUCGACCGAUCCUGAUGUCUUCGGAUGGAUUUGAGUAAGAGCAUAGCUGUUGGGACCCGAAAGAUGGUGAACUAUGCUUGAAUAGGGUGAAGCCAGAGGAAACUCUGGUGGAGGCUCGCAGCGGUUCUGACGUGCAAAUCGAUCGUCAAAUUUGGGCAUAGGGGCGAAAGACUAAUCGAAC